rnacentral:tRNA from 1 species
UGUAGAGUAAGCUAACAGAAGCUUUUGGGCUCAUAUUCCAAAAAUGGAAGUUAAAAUCUUCCCUCCACUA